rnacentral:rRNA from 1 species
AGUGAACGCUGGCGGUAGGCCUAACACAUGCAAGUCGAACGGCAGCACAGUAAGAGCUUGCUCUUACGGGUGGCGAGUGGCGGACGGGUGAGGAAUACAUCGGAAUCUACUUUUUCGUGGGGGAUAACGUAGGGAAACUUACGCUAAUACCGCAUACGACCUACGGGUGAAAGCAGUGGAUCUUCGGAUCUUGCGCGAUUGAAUGAGCCGAUGUCGGAUUAGCUAGUUGGCGGGGUAAAGGCCCACCAAGGCGACGAUCCGUAGCUGGUCUGAGAGGAUGAUCAGCCACACUGGAACUGAGACACGGUCCAGACUCCUACGGGAGGCAGCAGUGGGGAAUAUUGGACAAUGGGCGCAAGCCUGAUCCAGCCAUACCGCGUGGGUGAAGAAGGCAUUCGGGUUGUAAAACCCUUUUGUUGGGAAAGAAAAGCAGCAGGUUAAUACCCCGCUGUUCUGACGGUACCCAAAGAAUAAGCACCGGCUAACUUCGUG